UGAGACUAUAAGAGGUCUCCGGUUUAUUAGACAUUUGGUCUAAAUAUAUAGGGUUCUUGGUAACCCAGGUUAGUAUCUAAGAUAGAUACAGGGUAUCUCAGGUAGAUACAGGUUUUUGAGACCAUAAGAGGUCUCCGUGUAACCCAAACUUCUCUUUCUCCCGGUCACCUUUGUUUGUCUUAAGUGUUCUUUGUGGGUGAUUGUUUGUCUAUAUUGGGGACACACUUUGGUAAGUUAGUAGUGUCCCCACUCUGAGUCAACAGUAUGGGAAAUGUGAGUUCAGGUCCUGAGUGACCAAUAUGUGUACAUGUAUAUGUGUGUGUAUGUAUAUAUGUGUGUAUAUAUGUAUAUGUGUAUAUAUAAGAUAGCAGUACUUUUAAACAAAU